CCUACGGGUGGCUGCAGUGGGGAAUAUUGCACAAUGGGCGCAAGCCUGAUGCAGCCAUGCCGCGUGUGUGAAGAAGGCCUUCGGGUUGUAAAGCACUUUCAGCGGGGAGGAAGGCGGUGAGGUUAAUAACCUCAUCGAUUGACGUUACCCGCAGAAGAAGCACCGGCUAACUCCGUGCCAGCAGCCGCGGUAAUACGGAGGGUGCAAGCGUUAAUCGGAAUUACUGGGCGUAAAGCGCACGCAGGCGGUCUGUCAAGUCGGAUGUGAAAGCCACGGGCUCAACCUGGGAACUGCAUUCGAAACUGGCAGGCUAGAGUCUUGUAGAGGGGGGUAGAAUUCCAGGUGUAGCGGUGAAAUGCGUAGAGAUCUGGAGGAAUACCGGUGGCGAAGGCGGCCCCCUGGACAAAGACUGACGCUCAGGUGCGAAAGCGUGGGGAGCAAACAGGAUUAGAUACCCUAGUAGUC
rnacentral:rRNA from 1 species